rnacentral:rRNA from 1 species
UUCGACCUGAACUCAAACAUGAGU